GAUGAACGCUAGCUACAGGCUUAACACAUGCAAGUCGAGGGACCGGCGCACGGGUGAGUAACACGUAUCCAACCUGCCCUUUACUCGGGGAUAGCCUUUCGAAAGAAAGAUUAAUACCCUAAAUUAAGUAUGGGGAUGCGUUCCAUUAGGUUGGUGGUGAGGUAACGGCCCACCAAGCCUUCGAUGGAUAGGGGUUGUGAGAGGAAGGUCCCCCACAUUGGAACGGAGACACGGUCCAAACGCCUACGGGAGGCAGCAGUGAGGAAUAGUGGUCAAUGGGCGUUAGCCUGAACCAGCCAAGUAGCGUGAAGGAUGAAGGCUUAUGGGUCUUAAACUUCUUUUAUAUAAGAAUAUGUAUUAUAUGAAUAAGGAUCGGCUAACUCCGUGCCAGCAGCCGCGGUAAUAC
rnacentral:rRNA from 1 species